GGGGGCGUUCUGGAUUCGACGGGGAUCGUUCGAGCAUGAGUAGCGGGUCGUGGGGCUGCGCUUCACGUUAAUCACGCAGACCUAAACACAAACGCAAACAACGAAGAAAACUACGCUCUCGCUGCUUAAUCGCAGCUGACGUCGUCUCUCUCUUCUUCUCCCACGGGAAGUGAGAGGCGUCACCUAAGUGGGAUAGUCGGAGAUCAGCGUCCGCGUCUCUCCGGCGAAUAAAAGCGGACUAGCCUGAUCGAGAGCGUGUCGUUGCGCGCUCCUUGGGCGAACUUCAAACCAGCGAAUACACCCGUAGAAGCGAGUGUAGCGAGGUCUUCGGACAGGGGUUCGAUUCCCCUCGCCUCCACCA
rnacentral:tmRNA from 1 species